AGCGAACGCUGGCGGCAGGCCUAAUACAUGCAAGUCGAGCGGGUCCUUCGGGAUUAGCGGCGGACGGGUGAGUAACGCGUGGAACGUGCCCUUUGGUACGGAACAACUGAGGGAAACUUCAGCUAAUACCGUAUGUGCCCUUCGGGGAAAGAUUUAUCGCCAUUGGAGCGGCCCGCGUUGGAUUAGGUAGUUGGUGAGGUAAAGGCUCACCAAGCCUACGAUCCAUAGCUGGUCUGAGAGGAUGACCAGCCACACUGGGACUGAGACACGGCCCAGACUCCUACGGGAGGCAGCAGUAGGGAAUCUUGCGCAAUGGGCGAAAGCCUGACGCAGCCAUGCCGCGUGAAUGAUGAAGGUCUUAGGAUUGUAAAAUUCUUUCUACCGGGGACGAUAAUGACGGUACCCGGACGAAGAAGCCCCGGCUAACCUCGUGCCAGCAGCCGCGGUAAU
rnacentral:rRNA from 1 species